rnacentral:pre_miRNA from 1 species
AUAUUACUCCCUCCGUCCGGAAAUACUUGUCAUCAAAAUGAAUAAAAAAGGAUGUAUCUAGAUGUAUUUUAGUUCUAGAUACAUCCCUUUUUGUCCAUUUUGAUGACAAGUAUUUUCGGACGGAGGGAGUAUCUU